GGGACGAACGCUGGCGGCGUGCUUAACACAUGCAAGUCGAGCGAGGCUCUUCCUUCGGGAAGAUGCCCUAGCGGCGAACGGGUGAGUAACACGUGGGCAACCUGCCUCUAGCACUGGGAUAACUCCGGGAAACCGGGGCUAAUACCGGAUACGACCUCUGAGGGCAUCCUCCGGAGGUGGAAAGCAUUGUGGCUAGAGAUGGGCCCGCGGCCUAUCAGCUUGUUGGUGAGGUAACGGCCCACCAAGGCGACGACGGGUA
rnacentral:rRNA from 1 species